rnacentral:rRNA from 1 species
CCUACGGGUGGCAGCAGUGGGGAAUAUUGGACAAUGGGCGAAAGCCUGAUCCAGCCAUGCCGCGUGUGUGAAGAAGGCCUUCGGGUUGUAAGCACUUUCAGUGGGGAAGAAAGCCUUGGGGCUAAUACCCUCGAGGAAGGACAUCACCCACAGAAGAAGCACCGGCUAACUCCGUGCCAGCAGCCGCGGUAAUACGGAGGGUGCGAGCGUUAAUCGGAAUUACUGGGCGUAAAGCGCGCGUAGGCGGUCUGAUAAGCCGGUUGUGAAAGCCCCGGGCUCAACCUGGGAACGGCAUCCGGAACUGUCAGGCUAGAGUGCAGGAGAGGAAGGUAGAAUUCCCGGUGUAGCGGUGAAAUGCGUAGAGAUCGGGAGGAAUACCAGUGGCGAAGGCGGCCUUCUGGACUGACACUGACGCUGAGGUGCGAAAGCGUGGGUAGCAAACAGGAUUAGAUACCCCAGUAGUC